UUCACACACAGAAAUACUUUAUGAAAAAAAAAUGGAGAAAUAAUUUUGAUUGGACAUAUAGCUACAGAUCAGAUUCAGAUAUAUAUCUUCCAUACGGAGAAUUCGCACAAAGAAGUGUACCAGUAGCAAAAAAUUAUUCUGAUAUACAUAGGAAAAAGACAAAAAAUGUUGCCUGGGUAGCAAGCAACUGUAAUCUCUUUUUUCAAGAAACAACUAUAUAGCAGAGCUGAAGAAAUACAUCGAUGUUGACGUAUACGGAAAGUGUGGCAAACCGUGUUCUACCUGGAAUGACGACUCAUGUUUCAAAUAUUUAAGUGGUGAUUAUAAAUUUUAUUUAGCUUUUGAAAAUUCCCUUUGUGAAGACUACGUUACGGAAAAAGCAUUUCGGUUGUAUCAAGAGAACUUCAACAUAAUUCCAGUUUACCGAGGGGCACCAAAUGUAAAGGAAAUUUUGCCUGCUGGGACUUUUAUACCAACACUAGAUUUCAAAUCACCAAAGGCGCUGGCGGUAUAAUUGAAAUCAGUUGCCGACAAUGAAAUUGUUUAUAGUAAUUAUCUAAAAGAGAAAGAUAAGUUCUGGGCAGCUCCGUAUACACGACUUGAGAUUGUUUCAUUUAUAUAUUGUUCUGUGUGUGAAAAACUUUCAACAAAUUAUACACGUGGUACCAAACUUAACUUAACAAGUUGGAUAAUGAACAAAGGAUGUCGGCAUUAGAUGUAUAAUAUUAUAACGAAAUCGAAGUUUUUGGACUAAAACUGUGAUUUAUAAUUUUGCAAUAUUGAAAGAAAAAACAAUCUUAAUUUACAGUAUUCAACAAACCAUUAUUAACAAAGGAUGUCAUACGGCAUUGGAUAUAUAAUAUUACAAUGUUUUAUUUGUUUUGGACUAAAUAAAAUGCGAUUUGAAAUUUGCAAUAUUCAAAAAACAAAAUGGCUGAACUUACAGUAUU
rnacentral:lncRNA from 1 species